AGAGUUUGAUCAUGGCUCAGGAUGAACGCUGGCGGUCUGCUUAACACAUGCAAGUCGAACGGACUCUUCGGAGUUAGUGGCGGACGGGUGAGUAACGCGUGAGAAUCUACCUUCAGGACGGAGACAACAGUUGGAAACGACUGCUAACCCCCGAUGAACCGAAAGGGCAAAUAUUUAUAGCCUGAAGAAGAGCUCGCGUCCGAUUAGCUAGUUGGAGAGGUAAAAGCCCACCAAGGCGACGAUCGGUAGCUGGUCUGAGAGGACGAUCAGCCACACUGGGACUGAGACACGGCCCAGACUCCUACGGGAGGCAGCAGUGGGGAAUUUUCCGCAAUGGGCGCAAGCCUGACGGAGCAAGACCGCGUGGGGGAGGAAGGCUCUUGGGUUGUAAACCCCUUUUCUCUGGGAAGAACAAAAUGACGGUACCUGAGAAUCAGCAUCGAUUUCCGU
rnacentral:rRNA from 1 species